rnacentral:rRNA from 1 species
GUAGGUGGCAAGCGUUGUCCGGAAUUAUUGGGCGUAAAGCGCGCGCAGGCGGUCCUUUAAGUCUGAUGUGAAAGCCCACGGCUCAACCGUGGAGGGUCAUUGGAAACUGGGGGACUUGAGUACAGAAGAGGAAAGCGGAAUUCCACGUGUAGCGGUGAAAUGCGUAGAGAUGUGGAGGAACACCAGUGGCGAAGGCGGCUUUCUGGUCUGUAACUGACGCUGAGGCGCGAAAGCGUGGGGAGCAAACAGGGAUUAGAUACCCUGGUAGUCCACGCCGUAAACGAUGAGUGCUAAGUGUUAGGGGGUUUCCGCCCCCUUAGUGCUGCAGCUAACGCAUUAAGCACUCCGCCUGGGGAGUACGGCCGCAAGGCUG